CCGUACAUGAUAUGGACUACCAGGACAAUGUGAUACAGUCUCUAAGAGUCGAGUUGUUUGGGAAUGCAGCUCAAAGUGGGUGGUAAAUUCCAUCUAAGGCUAAAUAUAGGUGAGAGACCGAUAGCAAACAAGUACCGUGAGGGAAAGAUGAAAAGAACUUUGGAAAGAGAGUUAACAGUACGUGAAAUUGUUAAAAGGGAAACAUUUGAAGUUACACUUGUUAUUGUUGGUUCAGCUCUUUCUUUUAAGGGUGUAUUCCAAUGGUUAACAGACCAGCAUCAAUUUUUGGGUGUUAGAUAAGGGUCUUGAGAAUGUAGCAACCUCGGUUGUGUUAUAGAUCUUGACUUGAUAUAAUGCUUAGGAUUGAGGAACGCAGUGAGCUUCUUUUUUGAAGUGGAUGUUUUUUAAAUGUC
rnacentral:rRNA from 1 species